rnacentral:rRNA from 1 species
UACGUAGGUGGCGAGCGUUGUCCGGAUUUACUGGGCGUAAAGCGCGCGUAGGCGGCUUUCUAAGUCCUGUCGGGAAAGGUCGCGGCCCAACUGCGACAGUGCGCGGGAUACUGGGGAGCUUGAGGGCAGCAGAGGCCGGUGGAAUUCCCGGUGGAGUGGUGAAAUGCGUAGAUAUCGGGAGGAACACCCAGGGGGAAACCAGUCGACUGGGCAUCUACUGACGCUGAGGUGCGAGAGCGUGGGGAGCGAACCGG